UGGAUCCAGACUUUGAUUAUGGCUCAGGAUGAACGCUGGCGGCGUGCCUAACACAUUGCAAGUCGAACGAAGCUUGACGGAUGAUUUCUUCGGAAUGAAACCAGAUAUGACUUAGUGGCGGACGGGUGAGUAACACGUGAGCAACCUGCCUUUCAGAGGGGGAUAACGGCUGGAAACGGUCGCUAAUACCGCAUGAUGUGUUCGGAUGGCAUCAUCUGAACAUCAAAGAUUUAUCGCUGAAAGAUGGGCUCGCGUCUGAUUAGAUAGUUGGUGGGGUAACGGCCUACCAAGUCUACGAUCAGUAGCCGGACUGAGAGGUUGAACGGCCACAUUGGGACUGAGAUACGGCCCAGACUCCUACGGGAGGCAGCAGUGGGGAAUAUUGCACAAUGGGGGAAACCCUGAUGCAGCAACGCCGCGUGAAGGAUGACGGUUUUCGGAUUGUAAACUUCUUUUCUUAGUGACGAAGACAGUGACGGUAGCUAAGGAAUAAGCAUCGGCUAACUACGUGCCAGCAGCCGCGGUAAUACGUAGGAUGCAAGCGUUAUCCGGAUUUACUGGGUGUAAAGGGAGCGCAGGCGGGACUGCAAGUUGGAUGUGAAAUACCGUGGCUUAACCACGGAACUGCAUCCAAAACUGUAGUUCUUGAGUGAAGUAGAGGCAAGCGGAACUCCGAGUGUAGCGGUGAAAUGCGUAGAUAUUCGGAGGAACACCAGUGGCGAAGGCGGCUUGCUGGGCUUUAACUGACGCUGAGGCUCGAAAGUGUGGGGAACAAACAGUAUUAGAUACCCUGGUAGUCCACACUGUAAACGAUGAUAGCUAGGUGUGGGG
rnacentral:rRNA from 2 species